rnacentral:rRNA from 1 species
CACUCCUGCGGGAGGCAGCAGUGGGGAAUUUUGGACAAUGGGCGAAAGCCUGAUCCAGCAAUGCCGCGUGAGUGAAGAAGGCCUUCGGGUUGUAAAGCUCUUUUGUCAGGGAAGAAACGGUGAAAGCUAAUAUCUUUUGCUAAUGACGGUACCUGAAGAAUAAGCACCGGCUAACUACGUGCCAGCAGCCGCGGUAAUACGUAGGGUGCAAGCGUUAAUCGGAAUUACUGGGCGUAAAGCGUGCGCAGGCGGUUUUGUAAGUCUGAUGUGAAAUCCCCGGGCUCAACCUGGGAAUUGCAUUGGAGACUGCAAGGCUAGAAUCUGGCAGAGGGGGGUAGAAUUCCACGUGUAGCAGUGAAAUGCGUAGAUAUGUGGAGGAACACCGAUGGCGAAGGCAGCCCCCUGGGUCAAGAUUGACGCUCAUGCACGAAAGCGUGGGGAGCAAACAGGAUUAGAAACCCCAGUAGUCCC